rnacentral:rRNA from 1 species
UACGUAGGGGGCAAGCGUUGUCCGGAUUUAUUGGGCGUAAAGAGCGUGUAGGCGGCUAGAUAGGUCCGUUGUGAAAACUCGAGGCUCAACCUCGAGACGUCGAUGGAAACCAUCUGGCUAGAGUCCGGAAGAGGAGAGUGGAAUUCCUGGUGUAGCGGUGAAAUGCGCAGAUAUCAGGAAGAACACCCGUGGCGAAGGCGGCUCUCUGGUACGUGACUGACGCUGAGACGCGAAAAGCGUGGGGGAGCAAAACAGG